rnacentral:rRNA from 1 species
GUAACAGAGGGUUUGAUCAUGGCUCUGACGAACGCUGGCGGGAUGCUUUACACAUGCAAUGAACGGCAGCACGGACUUCGGUCUGGUAAGGAGUGGCGAAUCGGGUGAGUAAUGUGACCGAACGUGCCUAGUAGCGGGGGAUAACUACGCGAAAGCGUAGCUACACGCACACGCUCCUUUCGGGGAAAGCGGGGGACCUCGGGCCUCGCACUAUUAGAGCGGCCAUAUCGGAUUAGCUAGCUGGUGGGGCAACGGCUCACCAAGGCGACGAUCCGUAGCUGGUUUGAGAGGACGACCAGCCACACUGGGACUGGAGACACGGCCCAGACUUACGGAGGCAGCAGUGGGGAAUUUUUGGACAGUGGGGGAAACUCCUGAUCCAGCCAUCUCCGCGUGUGCGAUGAAGGCCUUCGUCAGGAAGACCUCUUGGCAGGAAAGAAACGGCACGGGAUAACAGCUCCCGUGCAACUGACGGUACCCGCAGAAUAAGCACCGGCUAACUACGUGCCAGCAGCCGCGGUACAUGUAGGGUGCAAGCGUUAAUCGGAAUUACUGGGCGUAAAAGCGUGCAGCGUCUGGAAAGAAAGAUGUGAAAUCCCAGAGCUUAACUUUAACCCAUUUUUAACUACCGAGCUAGAGUGUGUCAGAGGGAGGUGAAUUCCCGCGUAGCAGUGAAAUGCGUAGAUAUGCGGAGGAACACCGACGGCGAAGGCAGCCUCCUGGGAUAACACUGACGCCUGCGCACGAAAGCGUGGGGAGCAAACAGGAUUAGAUAACUGGUAGUCCACGCCCCAAACGAUGUCAACUAGCUGUUGGGGCUUCGGGCCUUGCAGCGCAGCUAACGCGUGAAGUUGACCGCCGUCUGGGAGUACGGUCGCAAGAUUAAACCAAAGGAAAUUGACGGGGACCCGCACAAGCGGUGGAUGAUGUGAUUAAUUCGAUGCAACGCAAAACCUUACCUACCCUUGACAUGUCUGAACUCUGAGAAGAGAUUUGGGAGUGCUCAUGAGAACCGGAACACAGGUGCCGUACGGCUGUCGUCAGCUCGUGUCGAGAUGUUGGGCGGAGUCCCGCAACGAAGGUAACCCUUGUCAUUAGUUAUGCCAUGAAAGGGCACUCUUACGAUCGCCGGUGACAAACCGAGGAAGGUGGGGAUGACGUCAAGUCCUCAUGGCCCUUAUGGGUAGGGCUUCACACGUCAUACAAUGGUCGGGACAGAGUGGUCACAACCUGGCGAGGAGGAGCCAAUCCCAGAAACCCGAUCGUAGUCUGGAUCGUGCAGUCUGCAACCUGACUGCGUGAAGUCGGAAUCGCUAGUAAUCGCGGAUCAGUGAUGUCGCGGUGUGAAUACGUUCCCGGUCUUGUACACACUGCCUGUCACACCAUGGGAGUGGGUUUUACCAGAAGUAGUUAGCCCUAACCGUAUGAGGGCGAUUACCACGGUAGAUUCACGUGACUGGGGUAGUCGUAACAAGGUAA